rnacentral:rRNA from 1 species
UACGUAGGGGUGCAAGCGUUAAUCGGAAUUACUGGGCGUAAAGCGUGCGCAGGCGGCUUUGCAAGACAGAUGUGAAAUCCCCGGGCUUAACCUGGGAACUGCAUUUGUGACUGCAUGGCUGGAGUGCGGCAGAGGGGGAUGGAAUUCCGCGUGUAGCAGUGAAAUGCGUAGAUAUGCGGAGGAACACCGAUGGCGAAGGCAAUCCCCCUGGGCCUGCACUGACGCUCAUGCACGAAAGCGUGGGAGCAACAGG